rnacentral:rRNA from 1 species
CACGUAGGGACCAAGCGUUGUCCGGAUUCAUUGGGCGUAAAGAGCUCGUAGGCGGCUCAGUAAGUCAGGUGUGAAAACUCCAGGCUCAACCUGGAGACGCCACUUGAUACUGCUGUGGCUAGAGUCCGGUAGGGGAGCAUGGAAUUCCUGGUGUAGCGGUGAAAUGCGCAGAUAUCAGGAGGAACACCAGUGGCGAAGGCGGUGCUCUGGGCCGGAACUGACGCUGAGGAGCGAAAGCGUGGGGAGCAAACAGG